rnacentral:rRNA from 1 species
UCCUACGGGAGGCAGCAGUGGGGAAUUUUGGACAAUGGGCGAAAGCCUGAUCCAGCAAUGCCGCGUGUGUGAAGAAGGCCUUCGGGUUGUAAAGCACUUUUGUCCGGAAAGAAAUCCUUGGCUCUAAUACAGUCGGGGGAUGACGGUACCGGAAGAAUAAGCACCGGCUAACUACGUGCCAGCAGCCGCGGUAAUACGUAGGGUGCGAGCGUUAAUCGGAAUUACUGGGCGUAAAGCGUGCGCAGGCGGUUUGCUAAGACCGAUGUGAAAUCCCCGGGCUCAACCUGGGAACUGCAUUGGUGACUGGCAGGCUAGAGUAUGGCAGAGGGGGGUAGAAUUCCACGUGUAGCAGUGAAAUGCGUAGAGAUGUGGAGGAAUACCGAUGGCGAAGGCAGCCCCCUGGGCCAAUACUGACGCUCAUGCACGAAAGCGUGGGGAGCAAACAGGAUUAGAUACCCUGGUAGUCCACGCCCUAAACGAUGUCAACUAGUUGUUGGGGAUUCAUUUCCUUAGUAACGUAGCUAACGCGUGAAGUUGACCGCCUGGGGAGUACGGUCGCAAGAUUAAAACUCAAAGGAAUUGACGGGGACCCGCACAAGCGGUGGAUGAUGUGGAUUAAUUCGAUGCAACGCGAAAAACCUUACCUACCCUUGACAUGGUCGGAAUCCCGCUGAGAGGUGGGAGUGCUCGAAAGAGAACCGGCGCACAGGUGCUGCAUGGCUGUCGUCAGCUCGUGUCGUGAGAUGUUGGGUUAAGUCCCGCAACGAGCGCAACCCUUGUCCUUAGUUGCUACGCAAGAGCACUCUAAGGAGACUGCCGGUGACAAACCGGAGGAAGGUGGGGAUGACGUCAAGUCCUCAUGGCCCUUAUGGGUAGGGCUUCACACGUCAUACAAUGGUCGGAACAGAGGGUUGCCAACCCGCGAGGGGGAGCUAAUCCCAGAAAACCGAUCGUAGUCCGGAUUGCACUCUGCAACUCGAGUGCAUGAAGCUGGAAUCGCUAGUAAUCGCGGAUCAGCAUGCCGCGGUGAGAACGUUCCCGGGCCUUGUACACACC